rnacentral:rRNA from 1 species
UGCAGUCGCACGAGAACGCUUCAGCUUGCUGAAGUUAGUAAAGUGGCGCACGGGUGAGUAACGCGUGGGUAAUCUACCCCCGAAUUGGGGAUAACAUCGCGAAAGCGAUGCUAAUACCGAAUGAUAUCUUGAAAACUCUGUUUUCUGGAUUAAAGAUGGCCUCUACAUGUAAGCUAUUGUUUGGGGAUGAGCCCGCGUACCAUUAGCUUGUUGGUAGGGUAAUGGCCUACCAAGGCAACGAUGGUUAGCUGGUCUGAGAGGAUGAUCAGCCACACUGGAACUGACACACGGUCCAGACUCCUACGGGAGGCAGCAGUGAGGAAUUUUGCGCAAUGGGGGAAACCCUGACGCAGCAACGCCGCGUGAGUGAUGAAGGCUUUCGGGUCGUAAAGCUCUGUCAAGUGGGAAGAAACCAUAUGGUUUUAAUACCGCCAUAUGUUGACGGUACCAUUGAAGGAAGCACCGGCUAACUCCGUGCCAGCAGCCGCGGUAAUACG